rnacentral:lncRNA from 10 species
GAUUCACUUAAUAUUUAUUGAGCUCCAGAAAUCAUAAAUAAAAAAACUGAUCCACUUAAUUACAUUGAAAUGUAAAACACUGUACAGAAAUAUCUUUACAAGCAGAAAUUAAAGUUAAAAGACAAACUAGGGAAUACACAUAGAAUACAUACGACAAAAAGGUAAUUUCUUUGAUAGACCAAGGGUCCCCAAAUCAUUCACACCAACAUUUUUUAAAUGAGCAAGGGAAAACCAAUAACCUGCAGUUCCAUUUUUCACUGAUUAGAUUGGUAAGGAUGAAAGAGUUUUAAAGUAUCCAGUGGGACUGAGGGUGUCAGGUAAGAAACACUCACAGGCUUUGUUUAUAAGCGUAUAAAUUGGUGUGGUCCUUUUUGGAGGGCAAUUGAUUUGCAGUAUCUACACAUUUUUAAACGCAAAAAGCUUUAACCUAGAAAUUCCACUCUUAGCAAUUUUACAGAUAAAAACACGCACAAAGACCCAAGAACAAAGAUGUUGCAACCUUGUUUAUAGCACACUCAUCAACAGGAGAUUGCUUCAAUAAUGGUAUAUCAUAAAACAGAAACUGAAGCCACUGAAAGAAAUAAAGUAAAUCUAUAAUCACAGAUAGAAAAUCAUUCCAAACUUAAUAUCACUUAAUAUCAUUAAGUGAAAAAAGCAAGGUAUCCUACAGCUCACGUACUAUGAUGUUCUUUUUAUGUAAUAGAUAAGCUUUUAUAUGCAUGGAAAAUCUUGAAAACUUGACACCGGCUGCUUCUGGGGCAGAUUUAUUGUACACUGUAUACCCUUUUGCAUUGUUUGAACCUGCAUGUUUUUCAGUGUGGUCAAUUUUAAAAGCCACCACCUCCUCAAACACACACAUUUGUUGACCAUUUACUAUAUAAUAGAAGCAGACCAGGCAUUAUGGCUAUAACCGUGAAUGAUAUUAUGUCCUCCAGGAGCUUACAAAUACUAGAUCCGAUUCUCAAAAAGGAAAAAAAAAAAAGAUGCUUUUCCGUGCUACAGACACAGUGCACCAUCCUCCCCCAACCCACUGAGAAUCUGUAAUAAGAUGGUUCCUGCAGGACAGAGAUGCACAUGAACACAGCAAAAUGCCUUCUCUAUAUUUUGUCAGUUGAUAAUUGAUAUCAAAGGCUUGCCGACGCCAAAAUUUCUCAUGGCGCCCACUGACACAAUUUAUCAAAUUAAUUAGCUUCACCUCUCCCAAAGUAGAAUCUUGGAAAGGGAAAUAAAUACAACAGAGGCAAAUUUAACAGUGGUGAUGAGAAAAACUCCCAAGACUGCCACUCAAAAGUGGUGCCAUGAGAUCUUGAACAACCAGGUUAUAAGAAGAGUAUACUGAAGUUUUCAGGGUAGGUGUAAAGAGGUAAACUAGGAAUUAGGGAAUUACUGAAGACAAAUUUUAAACUGAACAAGUUUUGCCUGGACAGAGUCAUUACAUAUAUGUUAAGGAUUUGCUGAUUAAAAAUCCCAAAACAAUUAGUUUGUCAUUGAAAGUACUUUAUAAAAAACACACUUAUAGAAACCAAUCAUCAAAGAGCUGUGCCAUUACUACAAAGCUACAGUAAUCAAGACAGUGUGGUGCUGGCAUAAGGAUAGACCUAUACAGAUCAAUGGAAUAGAAUUUCAGGCCAGAAAUAAACUCUCACAUGUACAGUCAGCAAAUUUGCAACAAGGGUGCCAAGACAAUUCAAUGAAGAAUAGUCUUCAUCAAUAAACGGUGCUGGGAACACUGAAUAGCCAUAUGCAAAAGAAUGAAGCCUAACUCCUACCUCAUAAUGUACAAAAAUUAAGUCAAAAUAUACAAAGACCCAAAUGUAAGAGCUAAAACCAUUAACACUCUAUGAAAAAAGGUGGAAAUCUUUGUGACCUUGGAUUAGGCAAUGCUUUCUUAGAUAUGAUACCAAAAGCAACGAAAGAAAAUAAGAAAUUGGAGUUCAUCAAAAUCAAAAACUUUUAUGCUUCAAAGUACACCAUAAAGUGAAAAUACAGCUCACGGAAUGGGAGAAAAAAAUUGCAAACCACGUAUCUGAUAAGGAAUUUGUACUGGUAUAUAUAGAACCCUUAAAACUCAGUAAUUAAGACAACUCAAUUUAAAAAUGGGCAAAGGAUCCAAAUAAACAUUUCUCCAAAGAAGAGAUACAAACUGCCAAUAGACACAUUAAAAUUUGGUCGACAUCAUUAGCCAUCAAGGAAAUGCAAAUCAAAGCCAUAAGGAGAUACCAGUUCACACCCACUAGGAUGGCUGUAAUCCAGAGCAGAUAACAAGUGUUAAUGAGGAAGUUGAGAAAUUUGGAACUCUCAUACACUGCUGAUGGGAUUGUAAAACAGUGCAGCCACUUUGAAAAACUGUUUGUGCCUCAAAAGGUUAAACAGUUACCACGUGACCCAGCAAUUCAACUCCUAGGUAUAUAUCUUAAGGAGAAAUUAAUGUCCACAUAAAAACUUGUACAAAAUGUUCAAAAAACAGCAUGACUCAUAAUAGGCAAGAAGUGGAAAUCCAAAUGCCCAUCAGCUGAUUCAUGGAUAAAUAAAAUGUGGUAUAGCCAUACAACAGAAUGCUUAAGUACUGAUACAUGCAACAACAUAAAUGAACCUUGAAAACAUUAGGCUGUCAAAGAGGCCAGUCACAAAAGACCACAUAUUAUAUGAUUCCGUUUAUAUAAAUGUCCAUAAAUAGGCAAUAAGAUAAACAGAAAGUAGAUUACCAGUUGCCUAAGUGUUGGAGGUUGGCAUUAGAAGAAAAUGGGAGCCAGGCACGCAGAUACAACUCCAGGUACUCAGGAUGCUGAGGCGGAAGGAUGCUUUGAGGCCAGGAGCUGAAGCCUGCAGUGAGCCAUCAUGACGCCAAUGCACUGAAGCCUGGGCAACAGAGUGAGAUCUCAUCUCUAAAAAAUAAAAUGAGCCAGGCACGGUGGCUCACGCCUGUAAUCCCAGAACUCUGGGAGGCUGAGGAGGGUGGAUUACCUGAGGUCAGCAGUUUGAGACAGCCUGGCCAACAUGGUGAAACCCCGUCACUACUGAAAAUACAAAAUUUAGCCAGGCGUGGUGGCUUAUGCCUGUAAUCCCAGGUACUUGGGACUCUGAGGCACAAGAAUCACUUGACCCUGGCAGGCAGAGGUUGCAGUGAGUUGAGAUUGUGCCACUGCACUGCAGCCUGGGCGAUAGAGCAAGUCUCUCUCAAAAAAAUAAAUAAAUAAAAAGUAAAAUGAAAAGGGGAGUGAGUGCUAACAGGUACAGGGUUUCAGUUUGGGGUAAUGAAAUGAUUACUUUCUAAAAUUGAUUGUGGUGAUAGCUGCACAACUUCAUGAAUAUACAAGAUCACUGAAUUGCAUACUUUUAAGAGUUGAUAUACAUGACAUAUCUCAAUAAGGCUGUUAUCUUUUUAAAGUCUUUCAGGAAGUCAAGUAAGAGGCAUGUCUUUGUGUGGACUCCAUGUGCCACAGUCCUAGGAGGGAGGCUCUGGUGAUCACUCGAACCCUGCAGCUCUAGUUCUGCCCCCACAUCCAGGUUUGGACUGAGCUAUCCCUUGGUCCUGAGCAUUUAAACGUUUCUCCCCUGGGCCAGUUGCAGUGACUCAUGCCUGUAAUUCCUUACCUUCAACUUACCUUUCCAGUCUUCUCCCACCACUGCUCCA